rnacentral:rRNA from 1 species
GAUGAACGCUGGCGGCGUGCCUAAUACAUGCAAGUAGAACGCUGAAGGAAGGAGCUUGCUCUUUCCGGAUGAGUUGCGAACGGGUGAGUAACGCGUAGGUAACCUGCCUGGUAGCGGGGGAUAACCAUUGGAAACGAUAGCUAAUACCGCAUAACAGUAGAUGUUGCAUGAUAUCUACUUAAAAGGUGCAAUUGCACCACUACCAGAUGGACCUGCGUUGUAUUAGCUAGUUGGUGAGGUAACGGCUCACCAAGGCGACGAUACAUAGCCGACCUGAGAGGGUGAUCGGCCACACUGGGACUGCGACACGGCCCAGACUCCUCCGGGAGGCAGCAGUAGGGAAUCUUCGGCAAUGGACGGAAGUCUGACCGAGCAACGCCGCGUGAGUGAAGAAGGUUUUCGGAUCGUAAAGCUCUGUUGUAAGAGAAGAACGAGUGUGAGAGUGGAAAGUUCACACUGUGACGGUAUCUUACCAGAAAGGGACGGCUAACUACGUG